CUAUGCUAUCGGGGUGAGACUAAGCCAUGCAAGCCGAACGUUUCUAGGCCAUGUUGGAAACGUGGCGUACGGCUCAGUAAAACAUGGUUAACCCACCCUUAAGAUGGAGAUAACCCCGGGAAACUGGGGUUAAUACCCAAUAGUUGAGGAUGCCUGGAACCGGCUCCUCAUCGAAAUGGUGUCGGAAACACGCCUUCUGAUACCGCUUAAGGAUGGGACCAUGCCCGAUCAGGCUGUUGGUGAGGUAACGGCUUACCAUACCCAUAACCGGUACGGGCCGUGAGAGCGGGAGCCCGGAGAUGGACCCUGAGACAAGGGUCCAGGCCCUACGGGGCGCAGCAGGCGCGAAACCUCCGCAAUGUGUGAAAGCAUGACGGGGUUACCCCGAGUGUCAUCUGCUGAGGAUGGCUUUUCUCCAGUUUAACUAGCUGGAGGAAUAAGAGGAGGGCAAGUCUGGUGUCAGCCGCCGCGGUAAUACCAGCUCCUCGAGUGGUAAGGGCGAUUAUUGGGCCUAAAACGUCCGUAGCCGGCCUGACAAGUUUCCCGUUAAAUAUGGCGAUCCAAUCGUCGGACUGCGGUAAAUACUGUUAGGCUAGGGGGCGGAAGAGGUCGGUGUACUCUUAGGGUAGGGGUGAAAUCCGAUAAUCCUAAGAGGACCACCAGUGGCGAAGGCGGCCGGCCAGAACGCGCUCGACGGUGAGGGACGAAAGCUGGGGGAGCGAACCGGAUUAGAUACCUGGGUAGUCCCAGCCGUAAACGAUGCGGACUAAGUGUCGGAAUGGUCUUAGAACCAUUCCGGUGCUGCAGGGAAGCCGUUAAGUCCGCUGCCUGGGGAGUACGGCCGUAAGGCUGAAGCUUA
rnacentral:rRNA from 1 species